AUCUGCUGGAUCUCUUGCUCCAACCUCCCUACCACGUCCUGGUAGCUCCCGAUCUCCUCCCCGAACUCCUCCUCCAUCUCCCGCAUCUGCCGCUGCAGAGCUUCGUUCUUAGGGGUGGGAGGGUUGGAGAAGAGGAUCAGAGGUUCAGGGAAGCCCUCCCGAGGUCAUGGGCAUCGAUCCAGCAGCACCCACGGCCACUGAGCCACGUCCCCGAGUGCCGUGGCCACACGUUCCUUGGGCACCCCUAAGGAUGGGGACUCCAUCACCUGCUUGGGCAGCUUGGGCCAGUCCCUGACUGCUCUUGCAGGACACGAAGUGCUCCUCGUGGCCCAACCUGAGCCUCCCCUGGCACAAUUUCAGGCUCAGGAGCUCAGCUGAUGCUAAGGAGAGGAGAAGAUCAACCCCACCUGGCUCCAGCCUCCACUCAGGCAGCUGCAGAGAGCAGCGAGGUCUGCCCUCAGCCUCCUCCUCUCCAGGCUGAACCUCACACACACAGAGCUCCCUCAGCUGCUCCUCCCCAACCCUGUUCUCCAGACCCUUCCCCAGCUUUAUUGCCCUCCUCUGGACCCCCCUCCAGCCCCUCAGUGUCCUCCUGGGUGGGGGGAAGGAUCCAGAAAUGACCUCAAGGAUUCCAGCUGUGGUCUCAUCAGGAUCCCAAGCCUGGAGCCAGGUCAGGCUCUGGAUCUGCCUCCUGGACUCGUUCAUCUCCUGCUUGGCCAACCUCAGCGCCUCGUGGUUGCGGUUUGCUGCAUCUGAGAGGUUCUUGACGGCGAUGCCCUCGUACUGGGAGCGGAUCUCCCGCAGCGCCGCCGUCAGCUCCGGCUUGCAGACCUCCACCUCCGCCGCCGCCGCCGCCGCCGCGCCCGGGCCGCUCACCUCCAGGUCCCGCAGCUCCUGUCGGUCACACGAAAUGUGACAUUCUGUCCCACGGACCCCCAGCCCCCUACCCUAGGACCCUCUCUCCCCUCCACCUCCUCAUGCAGCUUCUUGAGGAAGCCGAUCUCGUCCAUCAGCAGCUCCACCUUGCGCUCCAGCUCCAGGCGGGACAAGGUAGCAUCGUCCACAUCCUGCUGGGAAAGAGGUUGGGUUGAGAGGUGGGACCGACCCCACCCCCCCUCACACACCCCCAAACCUUCCUACUCCCCCCUAAACCCCCUCACUCCCCCUCACUCCCCUCCAAACCCCCUCACUACGGCGGUACAGGAUGGGCAGCAGCUGGCACACAGGGCAUCGCUGAGGCCUUCACAUGUGGGCAGCCAGAAGAGGGACCAUGAGUAGGGUGGGGGCAUCGUGGGUGGGGGCAGGGAAAUGAGCACUGCGUGAGGAGGGCAGGACAGGGGGAGCAGCCCUCCCCUCAAGCCCCCCCCACCUUGCGGAACAAGACCAAGUUCUUCUCUGCA